rnacentral:rRNA from 1 species
UACGUAGGGUGCAAGCGUUGUCCGGAAUUAUUGGGCGUAAAGAGCUCGUAGGCGGUUUGUCGCGUCGAAUGUGAAAACCCGGGGCUCAACUCCGGGCCUGCAGUGGGUACGGGCAGACUAGAGUGCGGUAGGGGAGAUUGGAAUUCCUGGUGUAGCGGUGGAAUGCGCAGAUAUCAGGAGGAACACCGGUGGCGAAGGCGGGUCUCUGGGCAGUAACUGACGCUGAGGAGCGAAAGCGUGGGGAGCGAACAGG